rnacentral:misc_RNA from 1 species
CCUCUCUCCCUAGCCUCCGCUCUUAGGACGGGGAUCAAGAGAGGUCAAACCCAAAAGAG